CCGCCAUUUGACCGAGACCUAGCCGCCUCCUCCCUCGCUCGCCUCCGUGGUGCCCUAGCCGCUGCCUUCUUCCUCCCACGCCCCUGCCUCCCUCUCCUCUUCCUCUCCCCUAGCGCCGCCCGCACCCGCGCCUCCCUCUCCUCCUCUCGCCCCUAGCGCCGGCACCACUGCCUCCUUCCCCGCUGCCACCCGGCCUCCUCCCCUCACGUUGCCCUCCAUCCACCCCUCCGAUCUGGCGCCGCCCAAACCCCAAUGCCCCGCCCCGGCCCUGGCUCCCACGGGAGGGAAGGAGGAAUUGCGAGGCGAGGCAAAGGCGGCAGCGUAUGGCACGCGGCGCGGGCGGCGUGGCCCAGGGGGUCGGCGCAGCCGUGGCUUCUCGUCGUCUCCGCCGUCGCCUCGGAGCCCAGCCGGCCGCCGCCGCACAUCAUGAGGUGGAAUGCCACCCAUUUCCCCGCCGUCCCCUCGGCCCAGGCUACCCCUAGCGCCACGGUCGCCAUGUCCCUGCCUUCUCCUCGACAGGAGGAAGAGCGAGGCCACAAACGGAUCUGGAGAUUGAAUCGGGCUCCAAUGGCUCCUGCGUGGCAUGAUGCCUGUUAAGGGUGGUUGCUAUCUCAGAUAUCUCCUCGUUCCUCUUCGUGUGCUGCUAGGAGCCUAUAUGUGAUGUGUACCUGUGUUGGUGCCUUUACAGAAGAUCCAUUAUGCCUUCCUCUCGGUGUGUGUUGUUGAGGCUAUCAAACAAGCCAAUGGCGUUGCAUAAAUGGUUUGUGAAGAUUGCCAUUGGAGUCUAGCUGGGGUAGUAGGCUGUCAAAAAGAUGUGGUCGCUUGUAGAACACCUUGAAGCUCCCAAAAUGCAAACACCAGGAGAUAGGGAUGUCAAACUGAAACAAAGAAGCCCAUGAUCGGUCUCAUAAUGUUACCAAUAGUACCGCCAUCAGCUGCAAAGAUGACAAGCUCAAGCAGGUCUGAUCCAGUGACAACAACAAUAGUGCAAGGUGCAUGAGCAGGCCUACAUAUUUCUCAAAAGAGCACGCCGUUGCCAACGACUGGAGAAGCGCCAGCCACCGAGUCGGACGUCCACUUCGCCAUUGCCGUCGUCCUUGCCCCGGCAGAAGCACGUUAUAUCUGUCCUUUCAUUUUUACUUUUUCUUAAAUGUAUUUAUUUGAAGGCGCACCUUUAGUUAUUAACCAAUACAUGUAUUGUUCAUGUCUUCUACUCCCUCUGUAAAGAAAUAUGUAUCUUAUAUUUGAAGGUGCAUCUUCUACUCUCUCUGUAAAGAAAUAUAAGAUAGGUAUAUAAGAUAGGUAUUUCUUUAUAGAGGGAGUACAUAGUUCUUCGAGCCCAAAAGUAUAACUAUGUAGAUGAAUUGUAUGAUGGGUUACAAACUUUACUUAUAAGACUACAUGAACUGCUAAUUGCUUCUUUUAAUAAAAGAUGAUCAACUCUAAUCUCGACCUGGUUUGUGUCAUGUUGGGAGGUGGAUGGGAGGCCAUUCCAAAGGAUUGUUUUGGCAGAAUCGACUGACUGCGCUAACUGGGAUUUAAUGUAUAUAUGGUAUUUUCAUAUUCUUGGUCACGUGUAGAAUACAUUGUCUGAUAGGAUUAGUUUUUCUAUGAACUUUUGGUGGAUAAAGUGUUUUGCAUCAACAAAUUUUAUCGUUGUAUUUUCCUGAGAUAUGAGACAUGAAUCUCUUCUAAUGAUGGUUGUCGAGCUGUUGAGCUCUAUAUUUGUUUUACCUGAUAUAAUGUUCAGUUUGCCCAUUAGUAGCUGGUGUUACAAUACACAUUUCAUCGAAGGAAGAUCACUAUUUUUGUGUGUGUGUGUUUACACACUUAGUUAUGUGUUGUCACAAAAAUGUUAGAUUAGCAUAAUUGCAUUAUCCUUUAAAAUAUGUCUAGCAGGUCAUUCAACGCAUCAUGCGAGGAGUCAAAUGACAAGGCAACCGAACCAAUCAAUACGUAGUAUGCCUUAGUAGAACUAUAUAGGUUUCUUACAACUCUACUCUUUGUAAUGAACUUGAUGCAGAUAUGUUAUCUUGGGUAACCACUGUGGUUUGCUUCUGGAACAGAUUAAAAAAUUUCCUCUUUGCGAUGUGCUUGCAGAACAAUUAGUUCACUGCAUGUACCUCAACUGCUUUUGGUAUAUCUUCAUGGUCUGCCAUCGAUACUAAACUUACUGAAACUGAACAAUUACUCCAAUUUCCUUUUGAUGUACCAAAUGUUUUAUUAUAUUGAUGUCUUAUAUGUUGCGCCACAACCUGCAUGUAUUUUAGAUGUGACUCCUUUAUUCUCAGUUAGUUGCAUCAGCUUGCACUUAUUAUGUUCUUUCAUGCCUACUUACAUGAGUGUGUCACUUAUAUUGUUCAUGCUGUCUGGGGGCUGAUCAUUAUACAACCGUUGCGGCCUAUCAAUAAAUGUUACGAUGAUAGAGAGAUUGAUCAGUCUUUCUCGGAUAAUAUAUGGUUUGACUUAUUGUUGUUAUAUACUUUCUUCAGAUAUAGGCCUGCUACCAUGUCUUUUCUCGCUGGACAUGCUUUCCGAUGGCGACAGUGAGGACUUCUACCCCGCUCCUCUCCCAGCAAGGCAUCUCUACCUCCCUCAUGCAAAGAUACCCGAAGACCGUCUUGGACUCUUCCUUCUUCAGUGUUUCCUCUUAUUGUUACACAACUUUGUGGUGCUUAGUGCAUAUAUCAUCCCCUCCUAUCAAUUCAUUCUGAAAUAAAGAGAUGGAGGGUUGUUAGUGUUUAUGGGAAAUGGUUGCAUUUUACAGAAAAAAUGUGUCUUUGUUGACCGGUUUUGCUCGAGAUAAAAAAGUCUUUCCUACUAUUGGUGUCAAACUCUUACUUUAGACUUCACAUGAUCUAAUCGGUGUUCUAUACAGAACAUCACUUUUUGGUUUUGGCUAAUCUCUCUGUUUUCUAUAGACAUGUGUUGUCCCAAUCUGCUAAUUUUAUAUUCAGAGGUAGCAUUGAUGUAGUUGCAUCAUUCAAAAGGCCAUAUGUGUUGCUUUUGUUCUACUUCUCUUCCAUAUCCAGUUAUUUAGAAAUAGCUAUGGUAACCUUUUAGCACUUAAAUAGGAUUAGGUAUAAUGUGAAUCAUUUGCUUCAUUUGGUUGACAAAUUAUAGCUUUAGCUCUCAGGUACUGAAUGUUGGAUUGAUCCAUUUUGUUCUUUUGCGCCUGCUGCUCCUUGCUGAUUCCUGUCGUGCUGCUGCUCGCUUGGUGUGUCGGAUUGGGGCCGUGGAUUCAAUGGCAUCGGUGUGUCGCGAGCUCCUCUAUUCUAGCAGUCUGUGCGCCGGAUCUGUUGUUGUGACCCUCGAUCUGUUGGUCUGCUGGGAGUGCUCGUGGCUUUGGUCGAUUUGUCCUGAUGUGUCUUCAGUCGCCGCUCUGCAGGACCCAAUUGCUAGAUAUAUUAUUCGGAACUCUCUAAAGUUGAAAGGUUCUGAUGCUGAAAUGGUUAUGUGAAAUUGGUUUUAGUUAAUGUUUCUUGUGUACUGUGGAUACUAAGGGGCAAUGGGCACAACUACAAAACUCAGAGCAGCAAAGCCCACAUAUACUACCUGAAGAAGAGCUCUCUGUUCUCCUUUAGUUAUCACCUUUUAUCGUUCUUUUACUACUUACAAUAGUGUUGGGACCGGCACCCUUGCGCCAAGGCGCGAUCCCGAUCUAGUCGGAGUAGAGUGGGGUGUGGAGUAGGAGGAUUACAAGCGGAGUACGAGAUGGGGUGAACAUGGACAGCAUGCAAGCAAGUCGGUGAUUUUCUCUCUUUUCCCCCUGAUCUUUGCAUCAAUUGGCCACUGAUUUUCUUGGGGUACACUGCCUACAGUUAUUUUUUGAGUACUCUGGUGCUCGCGCUCUACGCAAUUAGUCUUCCUUGCAUAUUUCACACCAUCAUUUUUUCUUGGUCACUACCUUUAGUGCAAGUUGGUCUCUGUAUUAUAAUUUUGAAAGAUUAAAAUAUUGUCAAAUUAGGUGUAUGAUACUGUUGUAAUCAACAAUUUUUUGUAUAAUUGGACACAAUAUACCAUGAUUAAUGACAAUAGAUGCAUCUCUAGGUCAUUAUUUUCCCUCAUGGAGGACACGUAUAAUCUAUGGAAGGUCCCGUGUUAAAAGAUUUGACUAGGCAUUCAUUUCAUCUGAAGUUUACUAUCAUGGAAAUGAUUUUAAUCCAAGAUAAGAUGUAACCAAGAAUUAAUUUAAAUUAAGACUGCACCAUGUUCAUGUUAAGUAAAGAAGUUAAGGGCUUAUCGUAACCAAGUUUCUCAAUCUGAUUGUAUGGUGUGGUCCUUUCUAUGGUAUGUUGAAAGGAACAUCUUGGUUUGGAGGGGUUGUGAACUUCAGUUUAGAUUAUUUUAGGUACAGAGAUCACUGCCAGUACAUAUGCCCUUGCAUAUUUAUGAAAAGAAAAUAUCACCGUACUAUAGCCCUCAGUUGUUGUUUUUUGUAUUUGCACAUAAAUCCUAUGUCUUAUGGUUUAUUUUUUAAGCACCAUAUUUUUGUACAUUCAACUUAUAUCAGGG